UACGAAGGGGGCUAGCGUUGCUCGGAAUCACUGGGCGUAAAGCGCACGUAGGCGGCUUUCUAAGUCAGGGGUGAAAUCCUGGAGCUCAACUCCAGAACUGCCUUUGAUACUGGAGAGCUUGAGUCCGGAAGAGGUGAGUGGAACUCCGAGUGUAGAGGUGAAAUUCGUAGAUAUUCGGAAGAACACCAGUGGCGAAGGCGGGUCUCUGGACAGUUCCUGACACUGAGACACGGAAGGCCAGGGGAGCAAACGGG
rnacentral:rRNA from 1 species